ACUAGAAUCUCAGAUCAACAUGAAAGCCUUCCAGGAAUCAGACUUUACCAUUAGCAUGAUCUAAGCAUUCUUCACGCCACUAAAAACCAAGCAUCUCCUUCAGCCCUCAAGCUCAGAUCUUCAAAAAUGGGCCCCAAAAAUGGAUAGAAGUGAGUGACAGAAAGUGCUUUCCAAGCAAGUCCUUUCUAAUCAAGCACCAGCUGACUACACUAUGUCCAGAGUACUCCUGAUAAUGAGGAACUGGGGGAAAGGUGUUCUCAUCAUUAUGCUAUAUGGAAGAAUGAAAAUGUGCCAGAUAUUUAAAGAUAUGUUUCUGUAUCUAAAAUCUCUCUCUGCCUAUUGUACGUACCUGAAUAUUUGUAGUUACAUUACAAACAGUACUUGAACCAUUAAAAGAAACCAUGGAAACUCACAGUUACCACAGAAACAUGGGAAGAUGUGGAAAAGGAAUGUAAGGUUAAAAAUUCAGGUUCCUAACACUGGAUUCUGCACUCACCAAUGCCGAAAUGAAGAAAGGGUUUUACUGAUUAAAUGAACAGAAAUGCAGAAAUGGCCUUGAUGAAAGUAUACACUAUACAGGACCCAUUAAGAGAAGAAAAAUGACAAUUCAUUCU